CUAGUAUAAGCAAUUAUACCGUGAAACUGCGAAUGGCUCAUUAAAUCAGUUAUCGUUUAUUUGAUAGUACCUUACUACUUGGAUAACCGUGGUAAUUCUAGAGCUAAUACAUGCUGAAAACCCCAACUUCGGGAGGGGUGUAUUUAUUARAUAAAAAACCAACGCCCUUCGGGGCUUCUUGGUGAUUCAUGAUAACUUAACGGAUCGCAUGGCCUUGCGCCGGCGACGGUUCAUUCAAAUUUCUGCCCUAUCAACUUUCGAUGGUAAGGUAUUGGCUUACCAUGGUUUCAACGGGUAACGGGGAAUUAGGGUUCGAUUCCGGAGAGGGAGCCUGAGAAACGGCUACCACAUCCAAGGAAGGCAGCAGGCGCGCAAAUUACCCAAUCCCGACACGGGGAGGUAGUGACAAUAAAUACUGAUACAGGGCUCUUUUGGGUCUUGUAAUUGGAAUGAGUACAAUUUAAACCUCUUAACGAGGAACAAUUGGAGGGCAAGUCUGGUGCCAGCAGCCGCGGUAAUUCCAGCUCCAAUAGCGUAUAUUAAAGUUGUUGCAGUUAAAAAGCUCGUAGUUGAACCUUGGGUCUGGCUGGCAGGUCCGCCUCACCGCGUGUACUUGUCCGGCCGGGCCUUCCUUCUGGAGAACCUCAUGCCCUUCACUGGGCGUGUUGGGGACCAGGACUUUUACUUUGAAAAAAUUAGAGUGUUCAAAGCAGGCCUUUGCUCGAAUACGUUAGCAUGGAAUAAUAAAAUAGGACGUGCGGUCCUAUUUUGUUGGUUUCUAGGACCGCCGUAAUGAUUAAUAGGGACAGUCGGGGGCAUCAGUAUUCAAUUGUCAGAGGUGAAAUUCUUGGAUUUAUUGAAGACUAACUACUGCGAAAGCAUUUGCCAAGGAUGUUUUCAUUAAUCAGUGAACGAAAGUUAGGGGAUCGAAGACGAUCAGAUACCGUCGUAGUCUUAACCGUAAACUAUGCCGACUAGGGAUCGGGCGAUGUUCUUUUUCUGACUCGCUCGGCACCUUACGAGAAAUCAAAGUUUUGGGUUUGGGGGAGAUGUCGCAGGCUGAACUAAGGAAUUGACGGAAGAG
rnacentral:rRNA from 1 species